UGACCAUGUCUAUGUCUCCCUUACACUGCCC
rnacentral:piRNA from 1 species